AUGACUUUGAUCUCCGUCCUCAUCUGGACUCUCCUCUGCUGCUGCUUCACAGAGUCCAGAGGCCAGAUCACAGUGACUCAGCCUGCAGCAGUGAGAUCUACUCUGGGAGGAUCUGCAACCAUCAGCUGUAGAGUCAGUCAGAAUGUUUAUAGUGGGAACUGGUUACACUGGUACCAACAGAGAGAUGGAGAAACUCCUAAACUGCUCAUUAAGUAUGUCAAUCAGCGGAUAUCAGGGAUUCCAGGUCGUUUUACAGGCAGUGGAUUAAACUCUGACUUCACUCUGACAAUCAGUGGAGUUCAGGCUGAAGAUGCAGCAGUGUAUUACUGUCAGAGUUAUCACACGCCAUAUGUGUUCACACAGUGA